rnacentral:rRNA from 1 species
CCUACGGGAGGCAGCAGUGAGGAAUAUUGGACAAUGGGCGCAAGCCUGAUCCAGCCAUGCCGCGUGCAGGAAGAAGCAUCUAUGGUGUGUAAACUGCUUUUGUACAGGAAGAAACACUCCCUCGUGAGGGAGCUUGACGGUACUGUAAGAAUAAGGACCGGCUAACUCCGUGCCAGCAGCCGCGGUAAUACGGAGGGUCCGAGCGUUAUCCGGAAUCAUUGGGUUUAAAGGGUCCGUAGGCGGUUUAAUAAGUCAGUGGUGAAAUCUGGUCGCUCAACGAUCAAACGGCCAUUGAUACUGUUAGACUUGAAUUAUAAGGAAGUAACUAGAAUAUGUAGUGUAGCGGUGAAAUGCUUAGAUAUUACAUGGAAUACCAAUUGCGAAGGCAGGUUACUACUUAUGGAUUGACGCUGAUGGACGAAAAGCGUGGGGAGCGAAACAGGAUUAGAUACCCUGGUAGUCCACGCCGUAAACGAUGGAUACUAGCUGUUCGGAGCAAUCUGAGUGGCUAAGCGAAAAGUGAUAAGUAUCCCACCUGGGGAGUACGUUCGCAAGAAGAGAAAUUANAAAGAAGUUAGUUAGNGNGNGAGAGNGACGAGACGACGAGAGGAGGAG